CAUAGCGACUAUCGUGGCAUAUCAAUAAGCGGAGGAAAAGAAACUAACUAGGAUUCCCUCAGUAACGGCGAGUGAAGCGGGAAGAGCUCAAAUUUGAAAUCUUCAAGGUUCUACCUUGACGAAUUGUAGUUUAAAGAAGUGUUUUCUGUUGGAGUUUUGGUAAAAGUUCUUUGGAAUAGGACAUCAUAGAGGGUGAGAAUCCCGUAUUUGACCAUUAUUUCCAACUUUGUGAUACACUUUCAAAGAGUCGGAUUGUUUGGGAAUGCAGUCCAAAAUGGGUGGUAAAUUUCAUCUAAAGCUAAAUACUGGCGAGAGACCGAUAGCGAACAAGUACCGUGAGGGAAAGAUGAAAAGAACUUUGAAAAGAGAGUUAAACAGUACGUGAAAUUGUCAAAAGGGAAGCGUUUGACACCAGUGUUGUUUUCUCGAAAAUCAAUUAAAAAUGGCGGGAUUUUGUGUUGUAUUGACUUUAUCAGCUUUCUGCACUUUUUUCUUAUCUUUUUUAAUGCACUUUUCGUUUAACAAGUCAACAUCAAUUUCUUUUGUUGUAAAAGAGUCAUUGGAAGGUGGCUUUUCUUUCGGAGAAAGUGUUUAUAGCCUUUGACUUCUGCAAUCGGAGAGAUUGAGGUCUGCAGCGUAGAUCCUUCGGGGUUAGAUGACAUUUGUGCUAAGCUAUAGUUCUUUAUAGACAACUUGUUGACUAUGAUCAGUCCUGUAGCUUACUCGCUUAUGCUAUUUUACCUACGCUUAGGAUGUUGAUAGUCACAGCGUGUAC
rnacentral:rRNA from 1 species